GAUUAACGCUGGCGGCGUGCAUAACACAUGCAAGUCGAACGAUGAAACUUUAAUGAACCCUUCGGGGAGAAUUAAAGCGGAUUAGUGGCGAACGGGUGAGUAACGCGUGAGUAACCUGCCUUACACAAGGGGAUAGCCUUUGGAAACGAAGAAUAAUACCCUAUAAAACCAUAAAAGCACAUGCAAUUAUGGUCAAAGUGAUAGCGGUGUAAGAUGGACUUGCGUCUGAUUAGCUAGUUGGUGAGAUAAAAGCCCACCAAGGCAACGAUCAGUAGCCGGCUUGGGAGAGUGUACGGCCACAUUGGGACUGAGACACGGCCCAGACUCCUACGGGAGGCAGCAGUGGGGAAUUUUGCACAAUGGGGGAAACCCUGAUGCAGCGACGCCGCGUGAUUUAGAAGGCCUUCGGGUUGUAAAAAUCUUUUGUAUAGGAAGAAAAUGACAGUACUAUACGAAUAAGGUCCGGCUAAUUACGUG
rnacentral:rRNA from 1 species